rnacentral:snRNA from 1 species
ACGAAAAUAUAUGUAGAGAGGAA